rnacentral:lncRNA from 10 species
GCGCCACCUGCAAGGGGGAGAAGAAGCUGUUGCACUUCAUCCAGCUUGUCAUCAUGUGAACAGCUUGUUUGAGUUUGUGUCUGAGCACCGGCUCAACUGCCCCAGGGAGCUCCUUGCUAAAGCCAAAGGAGAAAACCUCUUUAAGGAUGAAAACUCGGUGGUGUACCCCAUCGUGGACUUCCCUCUGCGAGACAUCUCUCUUGCCUCCCAGAGGGGCAUUGCAGAGCACAGCGCUGCCUUGGCCUCCCGUGCCCGCGUCCUGCAGCAGCGCCAGACCAUUGAGCUGAUCCCCCUCACAGAAGUUCACUAUUGGUACCAAGGAAAGACUUAUGUCUACUACAUCUAUGGCACUGACCACCAGGUGUAUGCGGUGGACUAUCCUGAGCGGUAUUGCUGUGGCUGUACCAUCGUGUGACAUAGCAUGGCUGUCCCCAGAGCCUGCCAUUCACGUUUGCCAAGGAAGAUGGCCGACACUCUCUGAGUGUGUUCACUGUUGGCUGCAUUGGACAAUCACAUACAAACCCUGGCAUGUCCUUCCAGAAAAACCAGCUUAUCAUCUAUCAAGCUCCAACCCCUUAUACAGCUCCUCUGGUGGAAUCCAUGACUCAUAUGUUUAACCUACAAUAAUUCAGCUAUACACAUUCCUGUAGAACAAAUGAGAGAAAUAAUUUAAAUGGCAAGGACUUUGCCUCUGGUCUCCAAGUUAAUGCCCCGAUGAUGCGUGUGAUUUGAUUUUGCUUUUUCCCUUUGUCGGUCUUGGUUCUGGUGUGCUUCUUCUAGUGGGAGCC